UCUUCAUGGUGGGCUAAUAAUAUUCUUGUCGUAGGAUCUUGUAAGCUAGAGAUUUGUCCCCCAAGUGAUUUUCACAAAUCUCUUUAUAGACCUCCCUGAGUGCAUAGUCGGCAUCUGUUGGUCCCAAACACUUCACUAAGAGAAGAGAGAAUGACCUUUUGUAUAAAUGAUCAUUCAUUAAAAUAUAUUGAGAGGCCAUCCAUCUGAGUCAUUUGGCUUUUGAGGAAUUCAUAGGGAGAGUUCCAUCAGUU
rnacentral:lncRNA from 1 species